UUGAUUCCGUGCCAGCCACCGUGCCAGCUCCCGUCGGAUCCCCAGCAUCACGCAGCCAUCUUCCUCUUCCGCUUCAUCAUCAGCUAUCCCACGCCAUCAACGCGUUCACAGCCAGCAAAUCUCAGCUCCCAGCAUCGUGGCCGAGCCGGAUUCGAGAUCCCAGCGCCUUCCUUUCGCAUCAGCCCGUCCGCAUCUCAAGCCAUCUUCAAGCAUCCCGUCGAUCCCGAGCCUCCC
rnacentral:lncRNA from 1 species